AUUACUUUGGCAGAUAAUAUGCAUUAGAUUUAGGAUCUAAUUAAAUAGGUCAAUCCUAUAAGUAGUU
rnacentral:tRNA from 1 species